CUUUUUAACAAAUGCAACACAAUCAGUGCGUUCAGUAAGUAUAACGUUUCAAGAUGGCGGAGCGAAUUGCAUGGUUAUUGUUUCUACUCGAUGGAUUCGCAGAUAAUUCGGAAAUAGAUCAGAUUGGGAUCAAUAACUGUAUUGCAUACGACCAUUUACAUGUAUUACCAGGUGUGUGUUGCCAGUAAUGGUUGAAGAUAUGCCAAACAAAUUGUGCCUCUCUAUACAGACAGAUUUCAGGUCUCAAUUUCGACUUCAAAGGUCAACAUAUCACUGAUAUCAGGAAUUCUGUACAACUGUGGAACCAUGUAUGGUACGUGACCGCACAAUGUUGGUUGGCAAAAGGAUAUUGGAAUAAGCAAAGGGACUCAACAUUACACAGUCAUUUCAACAUGUAGAGUCUUGUCAGCAAUGAUGGAGCAGUACUUCAGAUUUCCAGAAUCUCGUCAUGAGCUGAAGAUCAUUGCCUAUGAAUUUCAUGAAUGAUGUAGAAUGAUUGGACUGUUGAUGGAACCCACAGUGCAUGUCCUGCUUCAACAUCUGAGCAUAGGUCCUUGUUUAUCAGCAGUUUAGUUCUUAAGCAGUCUGUGACAGUAACUUGAAAUGUUUGGACAUAUGACCUGGAUGGCCAAGUUCUGUGCAUGAAGCCCAUUUAAAUAGGAACGGCCCAGUGGCGCAUUAAAUGGACAUUUUUCGAAUGUUCUCGAGGAUUCAGCUUACCGCCUGACAAGAAAUCUUGCUUUUUGUUCAGUAUCGAGGCCAUGGACAUUUGUAUCAUUUGCAAAAGAUACUGCGAUAUUUGUGCCUUUGUUCAUGCUUUAUAGUUGAUUAACAAUUGGAAGCCAUAACCUGUUUUAUAGGAUGGUGUUAGUGGGACAAUGAAUUUUGUAAAGAUUUUAAGACUGGAAAAGAUAAUUAAAAGUCAAAAGAGUUCUGCUAUUGUUAAGCAUGCUUUAUUGAUUUGUAAUGUUAGAAAGAUAGCAUUAUUAACAGAAUAAAAUGUCCAUAAUUUGAAUAUUCUACUGUUUUCAGCAACAUUUAAUUUAAUAUAGUACAAAAUGCUGCAUCAUGUUAUAUCAUGAUCUGUUUUGUGAACAAUGACCUUUCAAUGUAUAUUUAAUAAUUUGUCAAUGGGUGUUACACGCAUAAGCCCUACCAUUAGCCCAAAAAGGAAUUGCUUAGGAGUUUUGCCACCUUCUAGAGAAAAAUACUUCUCAGAAACAAUUGCAUUUUGGAAAGUCUAUGGCUAGUAAAAUUUGGAUUCCUUUUGGAUACCCAAGGUUACCAAUUUAUGUUUAAUGAAUUUGCAAUAAAAAGCUUUGACAGAACGUAAUGUCACAGAGUCGAACACGUGUAUGGAAUAAAGUGGAAGUUGAUUAAAUGAGUAAUACACAUUAUAUGCUUCUUUGAUUAAAAGUUUGUGUUUUCACUAAAACUGCAAACAUAGUAAGCUUUAAAGUAUUGCAACUAAAUAAAAGAUUCAGAUUUAAAUUGUAUUAUUUGAAUGCACUGUCUAAUACAGAG